UACGUAGGGUGCGAGCGUUAAUCGGAAUUACUGGGCGUAAAGCGUGCGCAGGCGGUUUUGUAAGCCAGGUGUGAAAUCCCCGGGCUCAACCUGGGAAUGGCGUUUGGGACUGCAAGGCUGGAGUGCGGCAGAGGAGACUGGAAUUCCUGGUGUAGCAGUGAAAUGCGUAGAUAUCAGGAGGAACACCGAUGGCGAAGGCAGGUCUCUGGGCUGACACUGACGCUCAUGCACGAAAGCGUGGGGAGCAAACAGG
rnacentral:rRNA from 1 species